GCCCGCUUGGCUCAGUGGUAGAGCGCAUCACUAGUAGAUUCUUGAUCAUCCUCUUUGUUUCAAGAGAAUUUGUCAGUCGCUGGGUGCAUGAUGAGGUCAUCAGUUCGAUUCUGAUAGUGGGCA